AACGAACGCUGGCGGCAUGCCUAACACAUGCAAGUCGAACGUGAUCCGGAGCUUGCUCCGGUGAAAGUGGCGCACGGGUGAGUAACGCGUGGGAACCUGCCCAGAGGUAGGGAAUAACCGCGGGAAACUGCGGCUAAUACCCUAUAUUCCCUUCGGGGGAAAGAUUUAUCGCCUUUGGAUGGGCCCGCGUCGGAUUAGCUAGUUGGUGAGGUAACGGCUCACCAAGGGGACGAUCCGUAGCUGGUCUGAGAGGAUGAUCAGCCACACUGGGACUGAGACACGGCCCAGACUCCUACGGGAGGCAGCAGUGGGGAAUAUUGGACAAUGGGCGCAAGCCUGAUCCAGCAAUGCCGCGUGAGUGAUGAAGGCCUUAGGGUUGUAAAGCUCUUUCGGCGGGGAAGAUGAUGACGGUACCCGCAGAAGAAGCCCCGGCUAACUUCGUGCCAGCAGCCGCGGUAAUACGAAGGGGGCUAGCGUUGUUCGGAAUUACUGGGCGUAAAGGGCGCGUA
rnacentral:rRNA from 1 species